UGUGGCGGCUGGUGCCGGAUGGGCCGCGCUGUGCUGUGGCGUGACGGCGAGCUGUUCAGAAGGGUUCUGCUAAAAAGGAAACGUCCCGCAGCAGCUCCUGGGUGCCCCGCAGUUGGCUCAGAGAACGAGUUAAAAGUCACUGGUGGUGAAAGUUGGGAUGCCAGAGUGAUCUGAGGAGAUGAAUCUACGUGGUUACUGAAAAGUUAUGUUUUUCCUUUCUUCUCCAGUAGCUGCACUGCAUCCUUUGAGAGGUGAUUGUAUUGCUAUAAAACAUAAUAGAAGUAUGAAGUCUCAGCUGCUUUACCUUCAGUCGAAAGCAGACUAGUCCCAAGACAACUUCAGCGCAGAUCUCAAAUCUUUCAUCCUGAAGGACUAAAUGUUCAAACUGGUGCGACAGCCUGACAUGCUGAGAAGAAAAAGAGUGUCUAUUGCAUAAAUUUGAUUCAUUAAAAGAAAUGAUUUGCUAAAUUGCUUCCAUCCUUAAUCUCUUUUCUCAUUUCCCUCUUCUAAUAGGUGAUGAUACUCACACACUGCCAUCUGCUUAUGUUAACUUAUAUCAUGUUUAUGACUGUCUGAGACCAUACUGAGCUAUAACAAUAUUGGAUGCUCAGUUUAUCUUAGGGAUUAUAGGUCUGUUUCUUAAUGAAAUGUUUUAUACCUUUCAGGAUGCCAUAUUAAUAGUAAACAUUUGAAAGAAUUCUGUUUUACAUUUUCUGCCAUUCUCAGUUUUGGUUGAAAAUGGCUGCACAGUCUGAAAAGAGGAAAAGGGAGGAUGCAUGAUUUAUAUAGAAAAAAUGACCACAAUUCCAGUGGACAACAAGAUGGACAGAGACAGACGGGCUUUUUAGAGUAGUUCACUUGACAUGAGAAUAACUGUGAGGGAGGUAACCUGCUCACCCUUUCUGGCCUGGGUGCUCAGGUCUCAUUGAAAAGAACAGUGGUGACAGUAAAAUAAAGAAAACAGACAGCACACCUCAGCCUGAUAUACAGUUACAUCAGAUACCAACCUAGAUCUAUUAUUCCAAAACGUACGAAGACUGAUGCUCUUCCAAAAAUCAAACAAAUACAAAAAAUACUAACAGGCAUAUUAACAACCAGCAAGGAAGUUCUAAUGUCAGUCAGUGAAGCUUGUAAACGUAUACAGCAGAUUUUGCUUCCUCCCAAACAGAAAAUGAA